AUACGUAGGUGGCAAGCGUUGUCCGGAAUUACUGGGUGUAAAGGGAGCGUAGGCGGGAAGGCAAGUUGAAUGUUAAAUCUAUCGGCUCAACCGAUAGCCGCGUUCAAAACUGUCUUUCUUGAGUGAAGUAGAGGCAAGCAGAAUUCCUAGUGUAGCGGUGAAAUGCGUAGAGAUUAGGAGGAAUACCAGUGGCGAAGGCGGCUUGCUGGGCUUUUACUGACGCUGAGGCUCGAAAGUGUGGGGAGCAAACAGGAUUAGAUACCCUGGUAGUCCACACUGUAAACGAUGAUUACUAGGUGUGGGGGGUCUGACCCCUUCCGUGCCGGAGUUAACACAAUAAGUAAUCCACCUGGGGAGUACGGUCGCAAGACUAAA
rnacentral:rRNA from 1 species